UGGGGAAUAUUGGGCAAUGGGCGCAAGCCUGACCCAGCAACGCCGCGUGAAGGAAGAAGGCUUUCGGGUUGUAAACUUCUUUUAUGAGGGACGAAGAAAAUGACGGUACCUCAUGAAUAAGCCACGGCUAACUACGUGCCAGCAGCCGCGGUAAUACGUAGGUGGCAAGCGUUAUCCGGAUUUACUGGGUGUAAAGGGCGUGUAGGCGGGACUGCAAGUCAGAUGUGAAAUUCCAGGGCUCAACCCUGGACCUGCAUUUGAAACUGUGGUUCUUGAGUGAUGGAGAGGCAGGCGGAAUUCCCUGUGUAGCGGUGAAAUGCGUAGAUAUAGGGAGGAACACCAGUGGCGAAGGCGGCCUGCUGGACAUUAACUGACGCUGAGGCGCGAAAGCGUGGGGAGCAAACAGG
rnacentral:rRNA from 1 species